UACGAAGGGGGCUAGCGUUGCUCGGAAUUACUGGGCGUAAAGGGCGCGUAGGCGGACAGUUUAGUCAGAGGCUGAAAGCCCAGGGCUCAACCUUGGAACUGCCUUUGAUACUGGCUGUCUUGAGUUCGGGAGAGGUGAGUGGAAUGCCGAGUGUAGAGGUGAAAUUCGUAGAUAUUCGGCGGAACACCAGUGGCGAAGGCGACUCACUGGCCCGAUACUGACGCUGAGGCGCGAAAGCGUGGGGAGCAAACAGG
rnacentral:rRNA from 1 species